GACGAACGCUGGCGGCGUGCUUAACACAUGCAAGUCGAACGGUAACAGGCCCUUCGGGUGCUGACGAGUGGCGGAUGGGUGAGUAAUACUUAGGAAUCUACCCUGUAGUGGGGACAACCCGGGGAAACUCGGGCUAAUACCGCAUACGCUCUACGGAGGAAAGCGGGGACCGCAAGGCCUCGCGCUAUUGGAUGAGCCUAAGCCCGAUUAGCUAGUUGGUGGGGUAAUAGCCUACCAAGGCAAUGAUCGGUAGCUGGUCUGAGAGGACGACCAGCCACACUGGGACUGAGACACGGCCCAGACUCCUACGGGAGGCAGCAGUGGGGAAUAUUGGACAAUGGGCGAAAGCCUGAUCCAGCGAUGCCGCGUGUGUGAAGAAGGCCUGCGGGUUGUAAAAGCACUUUCAGUAGGGAAGAAAUGCUUGGAGCUAACACCGCCAAGUUUUGUACGUUACUACAGAAGAAGCACCGGCUAACUCCGUGCCAGCAGCCG
rnacentral:rRNA from 1 species